AUGGCGGCCACCAGGUUGCCUCUCCUCCUCCUCCUCCUCGCCGCCACCGUCGCUGCGGCGGCCGACCUCUCCGUCUACCACAACGUCCACCCUCAUUCCGCCUCCCCGCUCGAGUCCAUCAUCGCGCUCGCCCGCGACGACGACGCGCGCCUCCUCUUCCUCUCCUCCAAGGCCGCCUCCGCCGGCGCCGCCUCGGCGCCCGUCGCCUCCGGCCAGACCCCGCCCUCCUACGUGGUGCGCGCCGGGCUCGGCUCGCCGGCCCAGCCCAUGCUCCUGGCCCUCGACACCAGCGCCGACGCCACCUGGGCGCACUGCUCCCCGUGCGGCACCUGCCCCGCCAGCAGCCUCUUCGUCCCGGCCAACUCCUCCUCCUACGCGCCCCUCCCCUGCUCCUCGUCCAUGUGCCCCAUCCUCCAGGGCCAGCCCUGCCCGGACCGGGACCCCUUCGACAGCGCGGCGCCGCUGCCGUCGUGCGCCUUCUCCAAGCCCUUCGCCGACGCCUCCUUCCAGGCGGCGCUGGCCAGCGACUGGCUGCAUCUGGGCAAGGACUCCAUCCCCAACUACGCGUUCGGGUGCGUGGGCUCGGUGAGCGGGCCGACGUCGAACCUCCCGAAGCAGGGCCUCCUGGGCCUGGGCCGGGGCCCCAUGGCCCUGCUGUCCCAGGUCGGGAACAUGUACAACGGCGUCUUCUCCUACUGCCUCCCGAGCUACAAGUCGUACUACUUCUCCGGGUCGCUCCGGCUGGGCGCCGCCGGGCAGCCCCGGGCGGCGCGGUACACGCCGAUGCUGAGGAACCCGCACCGGUCGUCGCUCUACUACGUGAACGUGACGGGGCUGAGCGUGGGGCGGUCCCCGGUGAAGGUGCCGGCGGGGUCGUUCGCGUUCGACCCCAGCACGGGCGCGGGCACGGUGGUGGACUCCGGCACGGUGAUCACGCGGUGGACGGCGCCCGUGUACGCGGCGCUGCGGGAGGAGUUCCGGCGGCACGUGGCGGCGCCGAGCGGGUACACGUCGCUGGGCGCGUUCGACACGUGCUUCAACACGGACGAGGUGGCGGCCGGGGGCGCGCCGGCCGUGACGAUCCACAUGGACGGCGGCGUGGACCUGGCGCUGCCGAUGGAGAACACGCUGAUCCACAGCAGCGCCACGCCGCUGGCGUGCCUGGCCAUGGCGGAGGCGCCGCAGAACGUGAACGCCGUCGUCAACGUCGUCGCCAACCUGCAGCAGCAGAACCUCCGGGUCGUCUUCGACGUCGCCAACUCGCGCGUCGGCUUCGCCCGGGAGUCAUGCAACUAG
rnacentral:rRNA from 1 species